rnacentral:rRNA from 1 species
AGUGAACGCUGGCGGCAGGCCUAACACAUGCAAGUCGAACGGCAGCACAGUAAGAGCUUGCUCUUACGGGUGGCGAGUGGCGGACGGGUGAGGAAUACAUCGGAAUCUACUUUUUCGUGGGUGAUAACGUAGGGAAACUUACGCUAAUAGCGCAUACGACCUACGGGUUAAAGCAGUGGAUCUUCGGACCUUUCGCGAUUGAAUGAGCCGAUGUCGGAUUAGCUAGUUGGCGGGGUAACGGCCCACCAAGGCGACGAUCCGUAGCGGGUCUGAGAGGAUGAUCAGCCACACUGGAACUGAGACACGGUCCAGACUCCUACGGGAGGCAGCAGUGGGGAAUAUUCGACAAUGGGCGAAAGCCUGAUCCAGCAAUGCCGCGUGAGUGAAGAAGGCCUUCGGGUUGUAAAGCCCUUUUGUUGGGAAAGAAAAGCAGCAGGUUAAUACCCCGCUGUUCUGACGGUACCCAAAGAAUAAGCCCCGGCUAACUUCGUG